rnacentral:rRNA from 1 species
UACGUAGGGUGCAAGCGUUUAAUCGGAAUUACUGGGCGUAAAGCGCACGUAGGCGGCUUUGUAAGUUAGAGGUGAAAGCCCCGGAGCUCAACUCCGGAAUUGCCUUUAAGACUGCAUCGCUAGAAUCAUGGAGAGGUUAGUGGAAUUCCGAGUGUAGAGGUGAAAUUCGUAGAUAUUCGGAAGAACACCAGUGGCGAAGGCGACUAACUGGACAUGUAUUGACGCUGAGGUGCGAAAGCGUGGGGAGCAAACAGGGAUUAGAAUCGACCCG